CCGGCGAACGGGUGCGUAACACGUGAGCAAUCUGCCGAUCUCUGGGGGAUAGCCGGCCCAACGGCCGGGUAAUACCGCGUACGAUCACCGAGGGGAGUCCCUUGGUGAUGAAACCUCCGGGGGAGAUCGAGGAGCUCGCGCCCUAUCAGCUAGUUGGUGAGGUAAUGGCUCACCAGGGCUACGACGGGUAGCUGGUCUGAGAGGAUGGCCAGCCACAUUGGGACUGCGACACGGCCCAGACUCCUACGGGAGGCAGCAGUGGGGAAUAUUGCGCAAUGGGCGAAAGUCUGACGCAGCGACGCCGCGUGUGGGAUGAAGCCUUUCGGGGUGUAAACCACUGUUGCCCGGGACGAAACUCCUUUUUCGAGAGGAUUGACGGUACCGGGUGAGGAAGCACCGGCUAACUCUGUGCCAGCAGCCGCGGUAAUACAGAGGGUGCGAGCGUUGUCCGGAAUCACUGGGCGUAAAGGGCGCGUAGGUGGCGGGAUAAGUGUGUGGUGAAAGCUCGGGGCUCAACCCCGAGUCUGCCAUGCAGACUGUCUUGCUCGAGCAUAGUAGAGGCAGGUGGAAUUCCGGGUGUAGUGGUGGAAUGCGUAGAGAUCCGGAAGAACACCGGUGGCGAAGGCGAGUCUCUGGGCCGAUACUGACGCUGAGGAGCGAAAGC
rnacentral:rRNA from 1 species